rnacentral:rRNA from 1 species
CUUAAGCAUAUCAAUAAGCGGAGGAAAAGAAACUAACUAGGAUUCCCUUAGUAACGGCGAGUGAACCGGGAUGAGCUCAAAUUUGAAAUCUGGCGUCUUUCAGGCGUCCGAGUUGUAAUCUAUAGAGGCGUUUUCCGCGCCGGACCGCGUCCAAGUCUCUUGGAAUAGAGUAUCAAAGAGGGUGACAAUCCCGUACUUGACGCGACAACCGGUGCUCUGUGAUACGUUCUCAAUGAGUCGAGUUGUUUGGGAAUGCAGCUCUAAAUGGGUGGUAAAUUCCAUCUAAGGCUAAAUAUUGGCGAGAGACCGAUAGCGAACAAGUACCGUGAGGGAAAGAUGAAAAGCACUUUGGAAAGAGAGUUAAACAGCACGUGAAAUUGUUAAAAGGGAAACGAUUGAAGUCAGUCGUGUGGGAAGUAUUCAGCCGUCUCUGGCGGUGUAUUUGCUUCUCACGGGUCAACAUCAGUUUGAUCCGGUAGAAAAAGGCGGGAAGAAGGUGGCACCCUCGGGUGUGUUAUAGCUUCCUGUCAUAUGUGCCGGACCAGACUGAGGAACGCAGCUUGCAGCAAUGCCGGGGUUCGCCCACGUACAAGCUUAGGAU